AACCCACAAACAUUAAUCAACCAAUUUUCACUUAUUUUUCGUUUUUCUUCAGCGUACUUUUCACCAUCGAUUUUCUUCACCUCUUUGUCUGUUCAUCAUUUCUUCUGUCUUUCUUCUCUCUUUGUUCGUUCACCAUCUGUUCAAGAAAACAAAGAUAAUGUUUCAAACUCCAAUCCUUUUUUUCUUCUGUCUUUGUCUAUAAUUUUAUUUUUAUUUUUCUAUAUAUUUUGCUUUUUUCUAAUUUUAGGGUUUUUGGAUUAGGGUCUGUUUCUAAUGUUUUUAUGUUUCUAUUUCACUAAUAUGUUUGUUUAUUUUGAGUAGGGAUUGAGAAUUUCGAAAAAUCAAGUUGUGGUGAAAGUUGAUACUUGAGAGAAGCAACAAGAUCUCUAUGCUUCUCAAGUUCUUGUGCUAGUCUCAAAUCUCAUUUCAUUCUGUAUUUACUACUUGGUGUUUAUGUUAAAUUAAAGUUAGGUUGAUGUUUUUUU